UACGUAGGUGGCAAGCGUUGUCCGGAAUUACUGGGCGUAAAGCGUGCGUAGGCGGUUCGUCGCGCGGCUGUGAAAACCCGAGGCUCAACCUCGGGCCUGCAGUCGAUACGGGCGGACUGGAGUUCGGUAGGGGAGUCUGGAAUUCCUGGUGUAGCGGUGAAAUGCGCAGAUAUCAGGAGGAACACCAAUGGCGAAGGCAGCACUCUGGUACGUGAUUGACGCUGAGACGCGAAAGCGUGGGGAGCGAACAGG
rnacentral:rRNA from 1 species